rnacentral:lncRNA from 1 species
AAAUUUUUCUAAAUGCUUUUUUUAAUUUUAAUUAUUUUUUAAGUUUAAAUUCAUUUGCUGACAUGGUAUUAUUUUGUCUUAUAUGCCACAUCAGCAUCUACAGACGUGUAGCGCCUAGGUGGAAAAAAAAUUUCCGCAUCAAUGUCGUUAGUCCCUUAAUGACCACCUCAGCAACACCGUUAAAAAUGACUAUUUUGACCAAAAAAAAGGUUAUGUAUGAAAGUGCUCCAAAAAAACCUUAAAGGCCAAAGUGACCCAACACCCAAACGUUAAGGGCUAAUUUUGUCAUUAUGCAAAUUUAUUUUAAAUUUAUGUAUGAAAGUGCUCCAAAAAAAAACCUUAAAGGCCAAAGUGACCCAACACCCAAACGUUAAGGGCUAAUUUUG